CUCGUCAGAAAGCCAGACAUCUUCAAGUUGAGCUCAUUUUACAUCACAUAAACAGACACAGUUGGGCUUUAUCAGUAUUGAGCGAAAUCAGCCAGUCUGGUCUGAAAGACCAGACAGAAGCUAAUAAAGAAACCGGCAUGAACUCACCUCUGACUGCGGCUCCUGCAGAGCACCGUGGAGGAAAGGAGAGAGAACAGUUUCAUCUGACGCCUCUCCAUCCUGCAGGAACAAGACGCGUUUUUUAAUGUGUAAACUGUCAGCAUCAAAUGAGAAUGUCAGCCACGAGGACACCGGAUCCACAGUCGCGGAUUCUGAACAGUCGCGGAUUCUGUACCGCUCCAUCAUCCAAGAUGUAUGUGUUUAAAGGUCAAGAGGAUUUUCUGGACACGUUUCUUUCCAUGCGAAUCUCACCCGCAGACUGUUGUACUGUGACAUUGCGUUGUUUUUACAUCAUUUUUGGAAAUAAACCAAAGAUUGAGGCACUAUAUUCUUUUUUUUAUUGGUGCGUAAAAAACCGCGCCGCCCGUCAAUGAAUGGCGCGUUGUGCCGAGGGGUAACUUUUCAUAGGCACUGAUGAGCUCCUGUCGGACGGAAGCUUUGAUAUCUGAGGAACCUGUUGGAUUAUAAAAUACACGCGCGCGUGCAUGCCCGCAAGCAUUACUUCAAGGACGGCGAGUUUGGAGAGUGUUGUUAGUGUCUCUGGUGCGUCUUAACUGGAUUUUUGCGCGUUGGUGACUCCGCAGUUACAAACCUCCGUGUGCUGAGUACACAGGAAGACAAUGUUUUUAUGCAACACGAGUGCCAUAAAGGACUGGAGCUAAUUUUCUCUCACAGAUAUUGCCUCUGAUGAAUAAAACUACAGGCUUGGUCAGCAAUCGACAAAGCAGACGCUGUAACGACCACCAUGGUGACAAUCUCUGCAGCCGGACGGCGCGAUGAGCGCGAGUAACCCGCCUCUCAACUCCAACCAUACCUCAGGCAUGGAGCACGUCUUUCAGUACUCUAUUCGGAGAGUGACCUGCUGUACACCAACUACCGGACACCGGCAAGAGACUCCAUGCCGCUGCCAAAAGCGGUGCUGUACCUGGUCAUGGCAGCGCUGGUGGUGGUGGCGGUGGCGUAUGCGAUAGUUGGACACCUGGUCAAAGAUGUGGUUAAUGACUUUGUCGGUGGAGGCAGGUCAAUCGUUGCUGAAGGGGAUGGAGGUGAAACCAGUGAACCAGAGUGGAUGAUUGGCUCUCGUGGAGUUACCAGCCGCAACAAGAAUGACAUCAGCUGCAUCACUAAUAACAUGCAUGAACUGAGUGAGCUGGGUGAGAGGCCUAGACUGGUGGAAAUGAGCUACAUUUCUCUGAAUCACACCAACUGUCUGAGCUCCAACAGAUCUGAGGAGAUAGUGAUCACGAUAGAUGAGACGAUACCGCAGCAACCUCCAGACACUCCCUCUGGGACUUAACUGUGACCUUCUGACCUUCCCUGAGAGAAAUAAAGCAGCAUACUAGCUUGCUCUUCUUGUUAAAGUGGAUUUACAAGUCUGUCAUGAAUUGAAGCUUUAUCCACUGUUUCAUCACCUGCAGGUGGGCUGUAUCGGCUGUGUAAUGUUGGGCCAUGGGGACUUCUGAUGUGGCAUCGGGUGUUAAUGGACUCCUUUUUGCUGGGAGGACUGGAGAGGAUGGCUGCAGCUUUUUUGGGGCAGACAUUUAGGGAAAAAGUGUUGUUUUUUUCUUGUUUAUGUCCUCAUCAUGCUGACCUUUUUUUCAAGUGACCCCUUAAGCUUUGAAAUGACAAUACCACUCUGUUAAUGUGACUUGCAGUUCACUGUAACCACUAGCAGUAUUUAAUCACCUUAAAUAUACAACACACAGUACUUAUUGUAAUGUUGCUGGUAGCAAGGUUAAACACUCCACCUUCAUAAAUAAAACAAUCACAAGUUUUGAAUCUUCUUUGAUGCUGUGAGGCAAGUUUAAUUAUGUUUUUGUAAUUGUGGUCAAAUUUGUGUGAAGCACCUCAAAUGAUACCUUCUCCCUUUCCUGUAUAAUAAUGCUGUAAUUACUACUGGGCAAAAAAAUUCUCUUUCUGAUGAUAAACUUUUUUUCUAAUUUCAUGUUAUUAGCUUCAAGUGCUAAAUCACCUUUAAGAGCUCUGGAUACACUGAAAUGCAAAAAAUCGAAUAUGAAAGUAUCAAAGCCAUUGUUCUGUUGUCAGUGCUCAACUUUCUGGUCAAGUGUCUAAACAUGGCAACACCUUUGAAGCAAAAAAAAUUUCUUUUUUCAUCUUUUCAAUAUUUAAUACGUCACAUGUAAUGGCGAUUUUCAAAGUCUUUGUUUACCUUUAUUACCUCACUGUUAAGGGCUAAGUAAUGCUGCUGAUGAGUCUGUCACAUCACUCAAAACUACAGCUAAUGGGGCUUCUGUUUUUGUGCAUGCUGUCGUCAUUAUUCUCUGCACACACAGCAACCAUAAACUGUUUAUAUGGGAAGAUAUGCUGAAGGAUGGUAGAGAGAAAAGGAAUGAAAUUGAAACAAGAAACUGAUGUCUAUACUACAUUUUUGCCUCACACAUAUACAUGUUUGAGGUGAAAUAGGUUAGAGAAGGCCGUGAGUACAAAUGGUGGUGUACCUAUUUUAAGGGCAAUGUAAUAAAACAGUGUUAACUCUGGAGCCAUGAAAAUGAUCACCUUGAAAUCAUCAAUCUCUGUAUUCCUCUCAAAUCACUGAAUUAAAAACUCACUGGCAAAAGUGUU